rnacentral:tRNA from 1 species
GGGCGGAUAGCUCAGAUGGGAGAGCGCAGCCCUUACAAGGCUGAGGCCACAGGUUCGAAACCUGUUCCGCCCAUGU